GAAAGCACGUCAAGAAGUCAGUGAGUGUAUUAGAGACAGCAAGAACGAUGACAGUGUUUAAGACACGUGGGUGUUUGCUAGCAGCAAUCAGGAUUAUCUUUUUAACUGAUAUUAAGUACGUUUUGAUCGGAGGUGGGAUCGGCCUGUUGUUAGUUGCUGUAUUCAUUAUAACAAAGAUCUGCAUUAUUAGGAAGCAAAUGUCAACAUGAGAAGAUUUUCAGAGCCUCAGUUGCACUCUUUGAGCCAUCUCAGCCAAUCAGAACGCUCCGAUGCAGCGGUGUCCAGAGGCGUGUGAUGACAGAGGUCUGGCACAGUGACGAGCCUGAUGCUGUAACCCUGCAAAAAGUGAAACAUCAACCUGGUGGCCUUUUUUUGUUCUUUUGUUUUUUUUGUUUUUCAGUGUUGGAAUUGUUGCAGAAUUUCAACAUUGAGUUUUACCUCUUUUACUUUCUCUGUAACAUUUGUUAUAAUUGUGUUCAUAAAAAAAUAUCUAAAGAAGACUUGCUUUGUGC
ensembl:lncRNA